UGGGGAAUUUUCCGCAAUGGGCGAAAGCCUGACGGAGCAACGCCGCGUGAGGGAUGAAGGCCUCUGGGCUGUAAACCUCUUUUAUCAAGGAAGAAGAUCUGACGGUACUUGAUGAAUAAGCCACGGCUAAUUCCGUGCCAGCAGCCGCGGUAAUAAUCGU
rnacentral:rRNA from 1 species